rnacentral:rRNA from 1 species
UACGGAGGGUGCGAGCGUUAAUCGGAAUUACUGGGCGUAAAGCGUGCGCAGGCGGUUAUACAAGACAGAUGUGAAAUCCCCGGGCUCAACCCUGGGAAUUGCAUUUGUGACUGUAUGGCUAGAGUGUGUCAGAGGGGGUAGAAUUCACGGUGUAGCAGUGAAAUGCGUAGAUAUGUGGAGGAAUACCGAUGGCGAAGGCAGCCCCCUGGGAUAACACUGACGCUCAUGCACGAAAG